GACAAACGCUGGCGGGGUGCAUGAGACAUGCAAGUCGCACGGGGUUGAUCGGGCUUGCUCGAUCAACCUAGUGGCGAACGGCUGAGUAACGCGUAGGUGACCUACCCGGAAGUGGGGAAUAACUGCCCGAAAGGGUGGCUAAUACCGCAUGUGGUCGGCGAAUCAGAUCGCCGUCCAAAGCCGAAAGGCGCUUCCGGAGGGGCCUGCGUCCGAUUAGCUAGUUGGCGGGGUAACGGCUCACCAAGGCGACGAUCGGUAGCUGGUCUGAGAGGAUGAUCAGCCAGACUGGGACUGAGAACGGCCAGACUCCUACGGGAGGCAGCAGUCGGGAAUUUUGCCCAAUGGACGAAAGUCUGAGGCAGCAACUCCGCGUGAGGGAUGAAGGCCUGGUCGUAA
rnacentral:rRNA from 1 species